UAAAUUGAGAGUUUGAUCCUGGCUCAGGACGAACGCUGGCGGCGUGCCUAACACAUGCAAGUCGAGCGAUGAAACUUCCUUCGGGGAGUGGAUUAGCGGCGGACGGGUGAGUAACACGUGGGUAACCUGCCUCAAAGAGGGGGAUAGCCUCCCGAAAGGGAGAUUAAUACCGCAUAACAUUAUUUUAUGGCAUCAUAGAAUAAUCAAAGGAGUAAUCCGCUUUGAGAUGGACCCGCGGCGCAUUAGCUAGUUGGUGAGGUAAGGGCUCACCAAGGCGACGAUGCGUAGCCGACCUGAGAGGGUGAUCGGCCACAUUGGAACUGAGACACGGUCCAGACUCCUACGGGAGGCAGCAGUGGGGAAUAUUGCGCAAUGGGGGAAACCCUGACGCAGCAACGCCGCGUGAGUGAUGAAGGUUUUCGGAUCGUAAAACUCUGUCUUUAGGGACGAUAAUGACGGUACCUAAGGAGGAAGCCACGGCUAACUA
rnacentral:ncRNA from 1 species